rnacentral:lncRNA from 1 species
CAUAGUUGCAUGAUCAUAAAAAGGCAAGUCUUUGAAGCUUUUGACAACUCUAACAUUUCAACCAUAUUUACAAGUCAUAAUUAUGUAUUUAUAUUUUUAGUGUGACAUUUAUAUAAUUUACAAUGAUUGGUGUCCUGUGUAUUCUGUAACCACGCAUAUGCAUACACAAAUUUGGACUUCUAUUUACACAAAAUCCAAAUAGAUUCUUUACUGUUUGCAAUCAUCCAUUCCUACAGAUGAUUAUCCAUGUUUGCAAUCAUCCAUUCCUACAGAUGAUUAUCCAUAGACAUGCCUA